CCCAGACUCCUACGGGAGGCAGCAGUGGGGGAUAUUGCACAAUGGGGGAAACCCUGAUGCAGCGACGCCGCGUGGGCGAAGAAGUAUUUCGGUAUGUAAAGCCCUAUCAGCAGGGAAGAAGAAAUGACGGUACCUGAGUAAGAAGCACCGGCUAAAUACGUGCCAGCAGCCGCGGUAAUACGUAUGGUGCAAGCGUUAUCCGGAUUUACCGGGUGUAAAGGGAGCGCAGGCGGCGCGUUAAGCCUGGUGUGAAAGCCCGCGGCCCGACCGCGGGACUGCAUUGGGAACUGGCGCGCUGGAGUGCCGGAGGGGUAGGCGGAAUUCCUAGUGUAGCGGUGAAAUGCGUAGAUAUUAGGAGGAACACCAGUGGCGAAGGCGGCCUACUGGACAGUGACUGACGCUGAGGCUCGAAAGCGUGGGGAGCAAACAGGAUUAGAUGCCCUUGUAAGU
rnacentral:rRNA from 1 species